AACGAACGCUGGCGGCAUGCCUAACACAUGCAAGUCGAACGAAGCCUUCGGGCUUAGUGGCGCACGGGUGCGUAACGCGUGGGAAUCUGCCCUUUGGUUCGGAAUAACAGUUGGAAACGACUGCUAAUACCGGAUGAUGACGAAAGUCCAAAGAUUUAUCGCCAGAGGAUGAGCCCGCGUAGGAUUAGCUAGUUGGUGUGGUAAAGGCGCACCAAGGCGACGAUCCUUAGCUGGUCUGAGAGGAUGAUCAGCCGCACUGGGACUGAGACACGGCCCAGACUCCUGCGGGAGGCAGCAGUGGGGGAUAUUGGACAAUGGGCGAAAGCCUGAUCCAGCAAUUCCGCGUGAGUGAUGAAGGCCCUGGGGUUGUAAGGCUCUUUUACCCGGGAUGAUAAUGACAGUACCGGGAGAAUAAGCACCGGCUAACUCCGUGCCAGCAGCCGCCGUAA
rnacentral:rRNA from 1 species